rnacentral:rRNA from 1 species
AUUCCUUUGCAUUGCCAUGCAUCUGGACAAAGAGUAAAUUUGGACAAAUGUUAUGUGUUCUUUAGCAAGGGGUGCUCAAAUGAUUUUCCACAGGAGGUAAAGAAUGCCCUAAAUGUUCAGGUGGAGGCUUUGUCUGAUAGAUAUUUAGGCAUGCCUACCGAGGUUGGGAGAUCUAAGAAUGGGGGUUCAAAAUACCUCAAGGAUAGAGUCUAUAAAAUGGUUCAAGGAUGA